GAUGAACGCUGGCGGCGUGCCUAAUACAUGCAAGUCGAGCGAACAGACGAGGAGCUUGCUCCUCUGACGUUAGCGGCGGACGGGUGAGUAACACGUGGAUAACCUACCUAUAAGACUGGGGUAACUUCGGGAAACCGGAGCUAAUACCGGAUAAUAUAUUGAACCGCAUGGUUCAAUAGUGAAAGACGGUUUUGCUGUCACUUAUAGAUGGAUCCGCGCCGCAUUAGCUAGUUGGUAAGGUAACGGCUUACCAAGGCAACGAUGCGUAGCCGACCUGAGAGGGUGAUCGGCCACACUGGAACUGAGACACGGUCCAGACUCCUACGGGAGGCAGCAGUAGGGAAUCUUCCGCAAUGGGCGAAAGCCUGACGGAGCAACGCCGCGUGAGUGAUGAAGGUCUUCGGAUCGUGAAACUCUGUUAUUAGGGAAGAACAAAUGUGUAAGUAACUAUGCACGUCUUGACGGUACCUAAUCAGAAAGCCACGGCUAACUACGUG
rnacentral:rRNA from 1 species